rnacentral:rRNA from 1 species
CCUUCAUUUUGCUCAGUAACUUGUAGUCAACCUGCCCUGGAGACAAGGACAACCCCGGGAAACUGGGAUUAAUCCGUGAUAGGUCAUGUCAUCUCGAAGGAGAGAUGGCCUAAAGGGGUACCCGGGCUUAUUUCGUGCAUCUGCUCCAGGAUGGGACUGCGUCCGAUCAGGCUGUUGGCGGGGUAAUGGCCCACCAAACCUGUAACCGGUACGGGCCUUGAGAGAGGGGGCCCGGAGAUGGACACUGAGAGAAGGGUCCAGGUCCUACGGGGCGCAGCAGGCGCGAAACCUUCGCAAUGCGCGAAAGCGUGACGAGGUUAAUCCGAGUGACUCCCGCUGAGGGGGUCUUCUGUCAGCUGUAAAUAGGCAGGCGAAUAAAUGAUCGAGAGAA